rnacentral:rRNA from 1 species
UGGGGAAUAUUGGACAAUGGGCCACAAGCCUGAUCCAGCAAUUCUGUGUGCACGAUGAAGGUCUUCGGAUUGUAAAGUGCUUUCAGUGGGGAAGAAGUCAGUGACGGUACCCACAGAAGAAGCGACGGCUAAAUAUGUGCCAGCAGCCGCGGUAAUACAUAUGUCCCAAGCGUUAUCCGGAUUUAUUGGGCGUAAAGCGCGUCUAGGCGGCUAAGUAAGUCUGAUGUGAAAAUGCGGGGCUCAACUCCGUAUUGCGUUGGAAACUGCUUGGCUAGAGUACUGGAGAGGUAGGCGGAACUACAAGUGUAGAGGUGGAAUUCGUAGAUAUUUGUAGGAAUGCCGAUGGGGAAGCCAGCUUACUGGACAGAUACUGACGCUAAAGCGCGAAAGCGUGGGGAGCAAACAGG